ACAAAGCUGGCUGAUUAUUGAAGAAAGUGGAGAAAGUUCACAUGGACAGACUUGAAAGCCAGCGAAUGCAGCGUCCGUAACUGUGAGGUUUGAGGAGAAGUUCUCUGAGGAACUGCCACAGGUGGAUCGGCUGACCAGAACAAGAUGAAUCUGCUUCUGACCACAGCUCUUCACCUUCUGUGAGAAACACACACACAGACAUGGUCACCGGGAGUUUGGCAAAUCUUGGAAAGCCUUUCCCACCUGCGGAAGCCUGUAGAGAUGCUCCGUCCAUAACAGCCACUUCUGAACGUUCCCACAAUUCCACUCCAUCGGGUCUGAAAGAUCAAAUCAGAUCAGAUAAGUCACUCAUGAUCGGUCUGGAGCACCCAACCACCUCUGACAAAGCACACUGUUGGGAUUCAGAGCUGUUUGGACAGACUCCAGAAUGUUUUGAAACGUCUUAAAGAGAGUUAGUGAAGGAAAGCGGCAUUCAGAAGAGCAAACAGUAGGGAUGGGUGUUUGUGCAAGGUGGUGUGACUUUAUAAAGAUGCAAAAUUUAACAUGAUACCACAAAUUGCAUGUGCGCCAUUAUAAAAUAAGGAUAAAUCAAUAGCAGUAUGACAUAUCACUGAUAAUUAAAGCCAGUUACAAGCUAUUUUUAAUAUGCAUCUCUAUUAAAAAACAAUAUCUGCAAGACCUAUUUGAAUGUUUGCUUUCUUAUCAUCGUUAUACGGGAGGGGUUUGAAUGUCCUUAAGGAAAGUUAGUGCAACAAAGCUCUCAGCACAUUAGUGAAACUCUGGAGGAUUAGGCAGAUCCUGGUGGAGAUACUUUCAGCUGCCUUCAGGGGUGGUUCAGUCAAAGACCUUUUCUAACAGUUUCAUUAUGAAUGUUUGCACGGCUCAAUCAUAACCCAGAGCUGCCUGUCACUCACAUUGAACAUGAGUGAUGAAUGGUGAGUUGUUCAUUUGAAUAAGUGUCAUGAAAAUAUCAGCAUGUUGUUGUUUUAAUGCCGUGCCUGUGAAUAAGGUGCGUCAUAGCUGUAUUGCGGUAUUUCAUGUGGAAGUAUUUUUAGGCGAUGCGUAGGUUGUUUGCUAAAUUUGGAAAUUGAAACAUUUCGCAUAAAUAUUUUACCUUAACAUAUUAAUAACUGUAUACUAUAUACUUAUAACUAUAUAUAAAUAAAUAUAUGUGAACUUUAUCAUAUCUUUGUUAUUUAUAUAACUAAUAUAGCUGCUCUAUUUGAAAAUAGCCCUUUAUAUGGCCCUAAUCUGAAUCUAAUAAAAACCUAAUCUGAAUUUGGGAGAUUAUUGUCUAAGAUUUUGUCUAAGUUUUUUGCAUAAAUAUCAGACCUUAAUUUGUUUUUGUAAUAUAUUUUGAUUGGGAUAAUAUGCAUAAAAUGUUGGCAUAUGCACUAAGUCACAUUCUGUGUUUAAUCUGAAUCUAAUGUAAAUUCACUUCUUUUUAAAACUGAGUGUUUUUCUUGGAUGCUUUUUUUAACAGCUUUAUUGCAACAUGCAUAAAAUCACAAUCUGAAUCGAAUCUUAAUUUAAUCUAAAUUCCGUGUUCAAACCUGUUUCUAACUGUAAACUGAAUGUAUUGAACUAUACCAGUGUAAAUGUACGACUGUCCACAUGGUACUCUUGCUUAAACGUCUUUAAGUUAAGGCAUAUUUAACAUAAACAUUAAACACAUUAAAUACAUAGAGUGAAAAUUUUGAAAGGAAGACAUUAAUACAGUUUUGUCAAAAUAAUAAUA